GAUGAACGCUAGCGAUAGGCUUAACACAUGCAAGUCGAGGGGCAGCACAAGGUAGCUUGCUAUCUGGGUGGCGACCGGCGCACGGGUGCGUAACGCGUAUGCAACUUGCCCUAUACAGGAGGAUAACCCGUCGAAAGACGGACUAAUACUGCGUAUGCUCACAACUUGGCAUCAAGUGGUGAGGAAAGAAAUUCGGUAUAGGAUAGGCAUGCGUCCCAUUAGCUUGUUGGUGAGGUAACGGCUCACCAAGGCAACGAUGGGUAGGGGAACUGAGAGGUUUAUCCCCCACACUGGUACAGAGACACGGACCAGACUCCUACGGGAGGCAGCAGUGAGGAAUAUUGGUCAAUGGGCGCGAGCCUGAACCAGCCAAGUCGCGUGAAGGAUGACUGUCUUAUGGAUUGUAAACUUCUUUUAUACGGGAAUAACAAGAGUCACGUGUGACUCCCUGCAUGUACCGUAUGAAUAAGCAUCGGCUAACUCCGUG
rnacentral:rRNA from 1 species